GUAGUUGACUCGCGGCGUCAGGACACGCUGGCGGCGUGCUUAACACAUGCAAGUCGAACGGUGAACCCCGCUUGCGGGGGAUCAGUGGCGAACGGGUGAGUAACACGUGGGCAACCUGCCCUCAGCUCUGGGAUAACUCCAAGAAAUUGGGGCUAAUACCGGAUAUGACUGCUGACCGCAUGGUCUGGUGGUGGAAAGAUUUAUCGGCUGGGGAUGGGCCCGCGGCCUAUCAGCUUGUUGGUGGGGUAGUGGCCUACCAAGGCGACGACGGGUAGCCGGCCUGAGAGGGUGACCGGCCACACUGGGACUGAGACACGGCCCAGACUCCUACGGGAGGCAGCAGUGGGGAAUAUUGCGCAAUGGGCGAAAGCCUGACGCAGCGACGCCGCGUGGGGGAUGGCGGCCUUCGGGUUGUAAACCUCUUUCAGCAGGGACGAAGCGGAAGUGACGGUACCUGCAGAAGAAGCACCGGCCAACUACGUG
rnacentral:rRNA from 1 species